GACGAACCGUGCGAACGUUAUUCGGAAUCACUGGGCUUAAAGCGCGUGUAGGCGGGACGGCACGUCGGUCGCUGAAAGCCCCCGGCUCAACCGGGGAACGGGCGCCGAUACGACCGUCCUGGAGGGACGUAGGGGGACCUGGAACAUCCGGUGGAGCGGUGAAAUGCGUUGAGAUCGGAUGGAACGCCCGUGGCGAAAGCGAGGUCCUGGACGUUUUCUGACGCUGAGACGCGAAAGCGUGGGGAGCGAACAGG
rnacentral:rRNA from 1 species